rnacentral:rRNA from 1 species
GCCUGCGUGAGCAUGGGUGUGAGUGGAAGCGUCUGGGAAGGUGCGCGAUACAGGGUGACAGCCCCGUACACAAAAGCGCAUGUGCUGUGAGCUCGAUGAGUAGGGCGGGACACGUGGUAUCCUGUCUGAAUAUGGGGGGACCAUCCUCCAAGGCUAAAUACUCCUGACUGACCGAUAGUGAACCAGUACCGUGAGGGAAAGGCGAAAAGAACCCCGGCGAGGGGAGUGAAAAAGAACCUGAAACCGUGUACGUACAAGCAGUGGGAGCACAGGUUUACCUGUGUGACUGCGUACCUUUUGUAUAAUGGGUCAGCGACUUAUAUUCUGUAGCAAGGUUAACCGUAUAGGGGAGCCGGAGGGAAACCGAGUCUUAAUUGGGCGUUAAGUUGCAGGGUAUAGACCCGAAACCCGGUGAUCUAGCCAUGGGCAGGUUGAAGGUUGGGUAACACUAACUGGAGGACCGAACCGACUAAUGUUGAAAAAUUAGCGGAUGACCUGUGGCUGGGGGUGAAAGGCCAAUCAAACCGGGAGAUAGCUGGUUCUCCCCGAAAGCUAUUUAGGUAGCGCCUCGUGAAUUCAUUCCCGGGGGUCUAGCCCUGUU